GAUCAUGGCUCAGGAUGAACGCUAGCGGCAGGCUUAACACAUGCAAGUCGAGGGGCAGCACGAGGUAGCAAUACUUUGGUGGCGACCGGCGCACGGGUGCGUAACGCGUAUGCAACCUACCUUUAACAGGGGCAUAACACUGAGAAAUUGGUACUAAUUCCCCAUAACAUUCGAGAAGGCAUCUUCUUGGGUUAAAAACUCCGGUGGUUAAAGAUGGGCAUGCGUUGUAUUAGCUAGUUGGUGGGGUAACGG
rnacentral:rRNA from 1 species